AUUGAACGCUGGCGGCGGGCCUAACACAUGCAAGUCGAGCGGCUGAAGGGUGCUUGCUUCUGGAUUCAGCGGCGGACGGGUGAGUAAUGCCUAGGAAUCUGCCUGGUAGCGGGGGAUAACGUCCGGAAACGGGCGCUCAUACCGCAUACGCCCUGAGGGAGAAAGUGGGGGAUCUUCGGACCUCACGCCAUCAGAUGAGCCUAGGUCGGAUUAGCUAGUUGGUGGGGUAAAGGCCUACCAAGGCGACGAUCCGUAACUGGUCUGAGAGGAUGAUCAGUCACACUGGAACUGAGACACGGUCCAGACUCCUACGGGAGGCAGCAGUGGGGAAUAUUGGACAAUGGGCGAAAGCCUGAUCCAGCCAUGCCGCGUGUGUGAAGAAGGUCUUCGGAUUGUAAAGCGCUUUAAGUUGGGAGGAAGAGCAGUAAGUUAAUACCUUGCUGUUUUGACGUUACCAACAGAAUAAGCACCGGCUAACUUCGUG
rnacentral:rRNA from 1 species